AAUAUUGGACAAUGGGGGCAACCCUGAUCCAGCCAUGCCGCGUGUGUGAAGGAGGUCUUCGGAUUGUUCAGCACUUUAAGUUGGGAGGAAGGGUUUUAGGCUAAUACCCUGAAGUUUGUACGUUACUAACUUAAUAAGCCCCGGUCAACUCUGUGCCAGCAGCCGCGGUAAUACAGAGGGUGCAAGCGUUAAUCGGAAUUACUGGGCGUAAAGCGCGCGUAGGUGGUUCAGUAAGAUGGGUGUGAAAUCCCCGGGCUUAACCUGGGAACUGCUUUCAUAACUGCUGAGCUAGAGUACGGUAGAGGGUAGUGGAAUUUCCUGUGUAGCGGUGAAAUGCGUAGAUAUAGGAAGGAACACCAGUGGCGAAGGCGACUACCUGGACUGAUACUGACACUGAGGUGCGAAAGCGUGGGGAGCAAAC
rnacentral:rRNA from 1 species